rnacentral:rRNA from 1 species
UACAGAGGUCUCAAGCGUUGUUCGGAUUCAUUGGGCGUAAAGGGUGCGUAGGCGGCGCGGUAAGUCGGGUGUGAAAUCUCGGGGCUUAACUCCGAAACUGCGUUCGAUACUGCCGUGCUUGAGGACUGGAGAGGAGACUGGAAUUUACGGUGUAGCGGUGAAAUGCGUAGAUAUCGUAAGGAAGACCAGUGGUGAAGGCGGGUCUCGGGACAGUUCCUGACGCUGAGGCACGAAGGCCAGGGGAGCAAACGGG